GAAAUGUUUUGUUUACAUGAAAAUCAACAAAUAUCAGAUCUAUUAUUCACUGCAUUAUCAAGCGGCCUGUUAGGCAGUGCUGUAGUUCCUGCCUGCAGCAAGCCUGGGAAGCUACUGGUCCAACAUGCAAGGAUCUCACCUUUGCUAACGCUUUCAGGCCAGCUGCUUUUUGUGCUUUAUGGUGCAUCUCACUGCUUUGUUAGUCAUUCCUGCACCCCCUUCAGUUCUUUUGUGCAGUGUGUUCUAAUAUAUAUCUAAUGUUUGAAGACAGUUUUUAAAACCUGCUUUUUUUUUCUUUUUUUUUUUUUUUUUCUUUCUUCCAAUUGAAUCCCCAGAAAUAUAGUGCAGAGGGAACCCAAGAUUUAGUACACUCCCUUCAAAGAUCUCUAAAUCACUACUUUUAUUUUACUCCUUAAUUCUUCCUUUCCUUCUGAGAAUAAAGCUUGCCCAUCUAUUUAACUUUGAAGACCA
rnacentral:lncRNA from 1 species